rnacentral:rRNA from 1 species
AUGAACGCUGGCGGCGUGCCUAAUACAUGCAAGUCGAGCGAACAGACGGGGAGCUUGCUCCUCUGACGUUAGCGGCGGACGGGUGAGUAACACGUGGAUAACCUACCUAUAAGACUGGGAUAACUUCGGGAAACCGGAGCUAAUACCGGAUAAUAUAUUGAACCGCAUGGUUCAAUAGUGAAAGACGGUUUUGCUGUCACUUAUAGAUGGAUCCGCGCCGCAUUAGCUAGUUGGUAAGGUAACGGCUUACCAAGGCGACGAUGCGUAGCCGACCUGAGAGGGUGAUCGGCCACACUGGAACUGAGACACGGUCCAGACUCCUACGGGAGGCAGCAGUAGGGAAUCUUCCGCAAUGGGCGAAAGCCUGACGGAGCAACGCCGCGUGAGUGAUGAAGGUCUUCGGAUCGUAAAACUCUGUUAUUAGGGAAGAACAAAUGUGUAAGUAACUAUGCACGUCUUGACGGUACCUAAUCAGAAAGCCACGGCUAACUACGUG